rnacentral:rRNA from 1 species
GGUUAAGUGAAUAAGGGCGCACGGUGGAUGCCUUGGCACUAGGAGCCGAUGAAGGACGGGACUAACACCGAUAUGCUUCGGGGAGCUGUAAGUAAGCUUUGAUCCGGAGAUUUCCGAAUGGGGAAACCCAGCAUCUUUUAUAGGAUGUUACUUUUCAGUGAAUACAUAGCUGAUUAGAGGUAGACGCAGAGAACUGAAACAUCUAAGUACCUGCAGGAAGAGAAAGAAAAAUCGAUUCCCUGAGUAGCGGCGAGCGAAACGGGAAAAGCCCAAACCAAGAGGCUUGCCUCUUGGGGUUGUAGGACUCCGAUAUGGUAGUCCAGUGAGAUAGUCGAAGGACCUGGAAAGGUCUGCUAGAAAGGGUAAAAGCCCCGUAGACAAAAUUUGACUGGCACCUAGGAGGAUCCUGAGUACGGCGGAACACGAGGAAUUCCGUCGGAAUCCGGGAGGACCAUCUCCCAAGGCUAAAUACUCCCUAGUGACCGAUAGUGAACCAGUACCGUGAGGGAAAGGUGAAAAGCACCCCGGAAGGGGAGUGAAAUAGAUCCUGAAACCGUGUGCCUACAACAAGUUAGAGCCCGUUAAUGGGUGAUAGCGUGCCUUUUGUAGAAUGAACCGGCGAGUUACGAUUACUUGCGAGGUUAAGUUGAAAAGACGGAGCCGCAGCGAAAGCGAGUCUGAAUAGGGCGAAUGAGUAAGUGGUCGUAGACCCGAAACCAUGUGAUCUACCCAUGUCCAGGUUGAAGGUGCGGUAAAACGCACUGGAGGACCGAACCCACGUACGUUGAAAAGUGCGGGGAUGAGGUGUGGGUAGCGGAGAAAUUCCAAACGAACUUGGAGAUAGCUGGUUCUCUCCGAAAUAGCUUUAGGGCUAGCCUCAGAGUAAGAAUGAUGGAGGUAGAGCACUGUUUGGACUAGGGGCCCAUCUCGGGUUACCGAAUUCAGAUAAACUCCGAAUGCCAUCCAUUCAUCUCUGGGAGUCAGACUGUGAGUGAUAAGAUCCAUAGUCGAAAGGGAAACAGCCCAGACCACCAGCUAAGGUCCCCAAAUAACUAUUAAGUGGAAAAGGAUGUGGGGUUGCACAGACAACUAGGAUGUUGGCUUAGAAGCAGCCACCAUUUAAAGAGUGCGUAAUAGCUCACUAGUCGAGUGACCCUGCGCCGAAAAUGUACCGGGGCUAAAUAGUUUACCGAAGCUGUGGAACUCNNNNNNNNNNNNNNNNNNNNNNNNNNNNNNNNNNNNNNNNNNNNNNNNNNNNNNNNNNNNNNNNNNNNNNNNNNNNNNNNNNNNNNNNNNNNNNNNUAGUACCGAAGUUCCUGAUGUCACACUGCCGAGAAAAGCUUCUAGUGAGAAAACAAUGGCCCGUACCGCAAACCGACACAGGUAGUCGAGGAGAGAAUCCUAAGGUGAGCGAGAGAACUCUCGUUAAGGAACUCGGCAAAAUGACCCCGUAACUUCGGGAGAAGGGGUGCUGAUCUAACGAUCAGCCGCAGUGAAUAGGCCCAAGCGACUGUUUAUCAAAAACACAGGUCUCUGCAAAAUCGAAAGAUGACGUAUAGGGGCUGACGCCUGCCCGGUGCUGGAAGGUUAAGAGGAGUGCUUAGCGUAAGCGAAGGUACGAAUUGAAGCCCCAGUAAACGGCGGCCGUAACUAUAACGGUCCUAAGGUAGCGAAAUUCCUUGUCGGGUAAGUUCCGACCCGCACGAAAGGCGUAACGAUUUGGGCACUGUCUCAACGAGAGACUCGGUGAAAUUUUAGUACCUGUGAAGAUGCAGGUUACCCGCGACAGGACGGAAAGACCCCAUGGAGCUUUACUGCAGUUUGAUAUUGAGUGUUUGUACCACAUGUACAGGAUAGGUAGGAGCCGUAGAAGUCGGGACGCUAGUUUCGACAGAGGCGCUGGUGGGAUACUACCCUUGUGUUAUGACCACUCUAACCCGCACCACUAAUCGUGGUGGGAGACAGUGUCAGAUGGGCAGUUUGACUGGGGCGGUCGCCUCCUAAAGAGUAACGGAGGCGCCCAAAGGUUCCCUCAGAAUGGUUGGAAAUCAUUCGCAGAGUGUAAAGGCACAAGGGAGCUUGACUGCGAGACCUACAAGUCGAGCAGGGACGAAAGUCGGGCUUAGUGAUCCGGUGGUUCCGCAUGGAAGGGCCAUCGCUCAACGGAUAAAAGCUACCCUGGGGAUAACAGGCUUAUCUCCCCCAAGAGUCCACAUCGACGGGGAGGUUUGGCACCUCGAUGUCGGCUCGUCGCAUCCUGGGGCUGUAGUCGGUCCCAAGGGUUGGGCUGUUCGCCCAUUAAAGCGGCACGCGAGCUGGGUUCAGAACGUCGUGAGACAGUUCGGUCCCUAUCCGUCGCGGGCGUUGGAAAUUUGAGAGGAUCUGUCCUUAGUACGAGAGGACCGGGAUGGACUUACCGCUGGUGUACCAGUUGUCUCGCCAGAGGCAUCGCUGGGUAGCUAUGUAGGGAAGGGAUAAACGCUGAAAGCAUCUAAGUGUGAAGCCCACCUCAAGAUGAGAUUUCCCAUUUCUUUAAGAAAGUAAGAUCCCUGAGAGAAGAUCAGGUAGAUAGGUCAGGAGUGGAAGUGCAGUGAUGUACGGAGCGGACUGAUACUAAUCGAUCGAGGACUUAACCAA